UACGUAGGUGGCAAGCGUUGUCCGGAAUUACUGGGCGUAAAGCGCGUGUAGGUGGUGGGACAAGUCUGCUGUGAAAGCGCCUGGCUUAACCGGGCGAGGUCGGCGGAAACUGUCCGACUCGAGGACGGUAGAGGGGGGUGGAAUUCCCGGUGUAGUGGUGAAAUGCGUAGAGAUCGGGAGGAACACCUGUGGCGAAGGCGGCCCCCUGGGCCGGCCCUGACACUGAGACGCGAAGGCGUGGGGAGCGAACGGG
rnacentral:rRNA from 1 species